rnacentral:rRNA from 1 species
UACGUAGGGUGCAAGCGUUAAUCGGAAUUACUGGGCGUAAAGCGUGCGCAGGCGGUUUUGUAAGUCUGACGUGAAAUCCCCGGGCUCAACCUGGGAAUUGCGUUGGAGACUGCAAGGCUAGAAUCUGGCAGAGGGGGGUAGAAUUCCACGUGUAGCAGUGAAAUGCGUAGAGAUGUGGAGGAACACCCGAUGGCGAAGGCAGCCCCCCUGGGUCGAAGAUUGACG